GACGAACGCUGGCGGCGUGCCUAAUACAUGCAAGUAGAACGCUGAAGGAGGAGCUUGCUUCUCCGGAUGAGUUGCGAACGGGUGAGUAACGCGUAGGUAACCUGCCUGGUAGCGGGGGAUAACUAUUGGAAACGAUAGCUAAUACCGCAUAACAGUAGAUGUUGCAUGACAUUUGCUUAAAAGGUGCAAUUGCAUCACUACCAGAUGGACCUGCGUUGUAUUAGCUAGUUGGUGAGGUAACGGCUCACCAAGGCGACGAUACAUAGCCGACCUGAGAGGGUGAUCGGCCACACUGGGACUGAGACACGGCCCAGACUCCUACGGGAGGCAGCAGUAGGGAAUCUUCGGCAAAGGACGGAAGUCUGACCGAGCAACGCCGCGUGAGUGAAGAAGGUGUUCGGAUCGUAAAGCUCUGUUGUAAGAGAAGAACGAGUGUGAGAGUGGAAAGUUCACACUGUGACGGUAUCUUACCAGAAAGGGACGGCUAACUACGU
rnacentral:rRNA from 1 species